CGGAUCUUCAGGCGAACUUUCUGGAUGGGACUGAAGUGGUACAGCCUCUUGGAAGGGAUUAAAUGUCACCGGGUCAGAGAAUUGCCCAAACUCGGAAGCCAGCAAGAUGUUCUUCGGGAGAACGUACAGCACCAAGUGUGAACCCUACUGUAAGCCACAGAGGCUCUGGAGGCUAGUGACGUGUCGAUGUAGGUUUCCUCUAUUGUAAUGGAGGUGCCCCGUCUAUGGCCAUACCACCCUGAAUGCGCCCGAUCUCGUCUGUAAUGGAGGUGCCCCUCUGAUCCCGCG